rnacentral:rRNA from 1 species
CAAUAGCGUAUAUUUAAGUUGUUGCAGUUAAAAAGCUCGUAGUUGGAUUUCGGGUGGGACGCAGCGGUCUCGCAUUGCGUUUGUACUGCUGCAGCCCUCCUUCUUGCCGGGGGCGGCCUCUCGGACUUCACUGUCUGGGGGUCAGAAUCGGCGAUGUUACUUUGAGUAAAUUAGGGUGUUCAAAGCAAGCUUACGCUCUGAAUAUAAUAGCAUGGGAUAACACGACAGGACUCUGGCCUAUCGUGUUGGUCUAUAGGACCAGAGUAAUGAUUAAGAGGGACAGUCGGGGGCAUUCGUAUUCCGUUGUCAGAGGUGAAAUUCUUGGAUUUACGGAAGACGAACAUCUGCGAAAGCAUUUGCCAAGGAUGUUUNCAUUGA